rnacentral:rRNA from 1 species
AACGAACGCUGGCGGCAGGCUUAACACAUGCAAGUCGAACGCGUGCAGCAAUGCACGAGUGGCGCACGGGUGAGUAACGCGUGGAUAUCUGCCUUUUGGUUCGGAAUAACCCCGGGAAACUGGGGCUAAUACCGGAUGGUUCCUACGGGAUAAAGAUUUAUCGCCAAAAGAUGAGUCCGCGUCCGAUUAGCUAGUUGGUGAGGUAGUGGCUCACCAAGGCGACGAUCGGUAGCUGGCCUGAGAGGACGAUCAGCCACACUGGGACUGAGACACGGCCCAGACUCCUACGGGAGGCAGCAGUGGGGAAUAUUGGACAAUGGGGGCAACCCUGAUCCAGCCAUGCCGCGUGAGUGAUGAAGGCCUUCGGGUUGUAAAGCUCUUUUGGCGGGGACGAUGAUGACGGUACCCGCAGAAUAAGCCCCGGCUAACUUCGUG